rnacentral:ncRNA from 1 species
GGGGUGAUUGUGGAAUUCUUUUAGCUUCCAUUAUUUUUUUUCAAUGAUUAUUGUUUUAUUUGAUCCAUUAGUAAUGAUUAGAAGAUUAAGUUACCUUAGGGAUAACAGCGUAAUUUCUUCGGAGAGUUCAUAUUGAUGAGGAAGUUUGCGACCUCCAUGUUGGAUUAAAAUUAGUGUUAGGUGUAGCAGCUUAAUAACUAGGUCUGUUCGACCUUUAAAGUUUUACAUGAUCUGAGUUCAGACCGGCGUAAGCCAGGUCAGUUUCUAUCCAUAAU